UGAGGAAUAUUGCGCAAUGGGGGCAACCCUGACGCAGCAACGCCGCGUGAGUGAGGAAGGUUUUCGGACCGUAAAGCUCUGUCGAGCGGGAAGAAAUGCAUGGUGGCUAAUAUCCAUCAUGCUUGACGGUACCGCUAAAGGAAGCACCGGCUAACUCCGUGCCAGCAGCCGCGGUAAUACGGGGGGUGCGAGCGUUGUUCGGAAUUAUUGGGCGUAAAGAGCGUGUAGGCGGCCGAAUAAGUCAGAUGUGAAAUCCCUGGGCUUAACCCAGGACGUGCAUUUGAAACUAUUUGGCUAGGGUAGGGGAGAGG
rnacentral:rRNA from 1 species